UCGGGGAGGAAACGAUAUCCCGCGGCCGAGGUCUCGUCGACGGAUCCUCAUGCGCGGGGCGUUUAAGGUUCGGGAUUAACGUUUAAGCGACGAGUUCUCGGCACUCGCCGCUGAAAACACCGGGGAAAACGUGUCUUUCGCCCGCGACACGGGCGUGUGCGAGGGAAGAGGCUACGAGAGACAUACGGAGGGACGUGGAGAGAAAGAGAGAGAGAGAGAGAGAGACAGACACAAGCACCGAUCGAUAAAUACCGAAAAGCAAAGCGGAAAGUGUGGCGGCACGAGUCCUCCGGAGCUGGGAGCGCGGAUCCUGGAGGAGCAACAGCAGCACGGCGAUGUUGCAUGCGUGAUCUCGCCGGUCGUCGAUAGAGCGACGACGUAUACGCUGAUAUCGCCUUCACGCGAUGCACGCGCGCACGCGUGCGUGUCCACGCACAGGCGGGACGACGAGGACGGUGCCGCGCGAUCUUUGUGCUCCGUGAUCGCACCUCCGAAUUUUCCUCAACGGACGUCGUGGAUCUCCGCAGUCGCGGCGUGUCUCUCCCUCCGGUGUUAUCGCGAAAAUCGGCGUCGGGUGCCAUUCGGGUUCCAUGUGCGAUCGAACGUCAAGUGUGAUUUCCGAGGUAUCUCCUGCGGGAUCUCCUCCGGAUAUUUUUCGGACCGACCGACGUUGCACGAAUUAACGCAGCACGGUGUGCCCGAAAUUCUCAGGCGCAAUAAACCCGCACCGCGGACCAGGAACCUUAUUCGUUUGUGUUUGCAUUUGUUCCGGAUGUUCGACGAAAAGAAGUGGUAAACAUAAAUCGUCGCGCCACACGACUCCCGCCGACGCGUCUUGUGACGAAGUGACUGCGGAAUUUUGGACGACGAUGUGGUGAAGCGGAAGCGAGGACGGCUGCUCCAUCGAAAUUCUUAAAAAGGACGGAGAACAAUCAUAGCCAAAGAAGUCUAUAAUUUCAAAAGCGACUUUAAACGAUAAGAGAAAAUAAUACCGAAGCUCAUCUCCGCUUAUUGUAAAUUUUUCACCGUUAACACCUUCGAAAUGCACGUUCUCGACAUUCUAUCUCAGCGGAACUCUCUCCCUAAAUUUUAAUUCUCGUCGAGAGAAGCAGCCACAUUUGCAGAAUCAUGUCUGCUAUCUCGGGAAAGCAGAACGCGCGAUGCUGUGUAUGACCUCGUCGGGAACUGUUGAACGGCCACUGGACGAAAUCGCGGAGUAAUGAUCAACGACGCGCGGCCGAGGCUGGCGAGCACCAUCGCGGGUUACAAUCAGACGAGCCGCACGUGUGAUCGCCGGCACGUGCCUGCAUACGGUGGCAGCGGCGGAUUGUUGCUUCGCAUCGUCCUGAUUUGUUGCUGCGUUACAAUAACCUACAGCUCCAAGUUCAGUAUGUGGCACGGAAAGAGCUUCAAGGAACUCCUGGCAGACCGACCGAAAAACUCACCUCAGCAUUCGCAAAUGGGUUAUUGCGACCUGGACAUAGAGUGCGACUGGUUCUGGAACGAGACUCAUGGUUUCAAGAAAGUCAAGGCGUCGCGCAACGGCUUGCCAAAAUCCUUUCCGACCACGGACGCCAGCAACUCUCCAAAUGGUCACUUUCUGUGGUUCACCGGACGAGGAGGUGCUCAAAUAAGAUCCAAAACGAUACCUCGCACGGGUCCACGUUGCCGCAUCGAAUUUUGGCUUUACAUGGUGGAAAUGGAAGAGGGAUUUAUAAAUCUUGUCAUAUAUCAAAUCGUUAGCAACGUGUCGUCCAUCGCGGUAUCGAAAAGCGGCAAUAACACCGCCAAAUGGCAGAAAAUAAGUUUUUCAUUACGCGCAAUCGAUCAGACCUACAGAAUUUAUUUAGAGGUCUACGGGCCUCUUCCUAAUUCGAGUAUCGGCGUCGACAACAUUCACCUAGUUGAUUGCUUUCCAGAAUCCGUCGGGGAUUGUAGUACCGAGGACAUGUUUCUGUGUAACAACGGCCUUUGCUUAAACAGGACUCGUGUUUGCGAUUUCACGAAGGAUUGCGUCGAUGGCGAAGACGAGGAGCUCGAGUGCGACAAGAUACCGAAGAACGCAAGGUGUAAUUUUGAAAACGGUUGGUGCGGAUGGACGAACGUUCCCGAGCGACCAUUAAAUUGGACCCUUAAUCAAGGUUCCACGCCGACCGAAAGAACAGGGCCCAAUUACGAUCAUACUUAUCGUAACAAAACCGGAACAUAUGCGUUCGUAAAUAUGGCAGGCUAUUCUAAAAAUGUCGCAUAUGGUAGUAAAGGUACCAUCACAAGUCCACUGUAUAAUCCGACACCACCUUACAGCAGCGAUCCUAACAGUUCUUAUUAUCGAUCAUGUCAAGUACGCUUUUUCUAUCACAAACAUGGUCCGCAUAGUGCAUCUCUUGGGCUGUUCUUGGUUCAAGUAAAACCAUAUGGAAAUCAUACCGAAAAUUUAUGGUGGUCCUACGGAGCUAAUAGUGACGCUUGGUACGGCGAAGCGGUUGUUCUACCUAAUAUAAGAUAUAGGUACCAUUUGCAAUUCGAAGCAUCUAGAGGAUAUUCCGCGAAAAGUGAUGUAGCAAUUGAUGAUAUUUCCCUGAGUCGAGAAUGUUUCGGCAUCGGAGUUCCACGAGACAUUGUAGGCAAUUUUAAUUAUUCUAAUCCCAUUAUUGAUUCUGAGAAGAUGCCAUCGCAGCAUCCGGAUUUUGUUAAUGAAACAGUUAUUCGAAUUACUACUUGCGGGGCUACUGGCAGAAAAGGCCCUACUGCCGAAAAAUGCGCUGAAAAAUAUAACGACACAAAUGUAGAAUUAUUCAUGCCGUCGCAAGAGGAAAAAUUGGUUUUUAAUUUAGAAGGAGUCCAACGAUGGACGGCGCCACGUGGUGAAUACUACACUUUAAUCGCCGUCGGGGCAAGAGGAGGAAAAGGCUCGGGUAACGUUGGUAUCACUCUGGGUGCAUUUGUUCGUGGUGUCAUAGAGCUUCAAAAGGGCGACCAGCUAUAUUUCAUGAUGGGUCAAGCGGGAACAGACGCUUGUCCUAAAAAUCUCGGCUUAAAGACAACCACGUGUAAAGAUGAAUCAGUCGAUUUGCAAUCACCGCAGCAGACAUCAUCGAAAGUACGAGAAGUAAAGAAAAUCCAAUUCAAGAAUCCUGGUGGUGGCGGCGGUGGUGCGACUGCUAUCUUCACACUGAAAGCAAAUGGGGAUCUGGAACCCAUCUUAAUCGCGGGUGGUGGCGGUGGUUUGGGAUUAAAUCCUUCUAUGGACAAUGGAUUACAACAUGGACGCGGUCCCUUUCCCGCGGGUAGAUCCGUACCUUCCCCGUCCAAUGUUCCGGAACGCAUGGGUGGACCUGGUGCUAGUUGGAACGGUACAUGGCCUAAUUUUCAACGAAAAACCUGGGGAAUGCCAUUAAUUCAUGGAGGUAUAGGAGGACUUGGUUGUGAAGCCGGAGAUCACGGUGACGGAGGUUUUGGCGGAGGUGGAGGCGGUUGCCAAUCAGGAGGUGGUGGCGGCGGUUACGUUGGUGGUAAUGCUGGACACAAUGAUGGAAGUGGUGAGGGUGGUUACUCAUACGCGAGUCAAAUGCUCACCGAUGUUUACUUCAGAGUUGGAACUCAUUCUGGCCCGGGGGAGGUCUUCAUCAUACCCGCGAUUAGCGGUUGCGGUUGCGAUUACCGCUGCGUCGCGCUUGAUCAGUAUUUGAACGAGACCAACUGCCUCUGUCCUCAGGGUUGGUUACUCAGCAACGAUUCCAAAUCCUGUAUCAUGACUGACGAUUCCAAAGAUAAUAAUCAAACUUAUAUUAUCCAGCUCGUAGUUAUAGGCAGCCUGUUAAUCAUUAUUGGGAUUUGUCUAAUAUCUUAUAAACGAUACCAAAAACAAAAAGCAGUUUCGCAUCGCCGCCAAGUAAUGUUCGGCAACGGCACUGAAUUAGCUGCAUUGCGUCCAGGACACUUGUCGGACACGAUAAUGACCGAGUUCAACCCCAAUUACGAGUUCGCUGGCAAUAUCUAUAGCUUCAAGGACCUACCGCACAUACCCCGUGAAUGUAUUACUUUAGUAAAAGCUCUCGGCCAAGGCGCCUUCGGCGAAGUUUACCAGGGUGUGUACAAAUAUAGACGUAGCGAACAUCCCGUUGCCGUCAAAACGCUACUGUCUUUAUCCACGACACAUGCAGAAGCGGAUUUUAUGAUGGAAGCAUUGAUAAUGAGCAAAUUUAAUCACCCUAACAUAGUACACUUUAUCGGCGUCUCCUUCGACAAACGUCCGAGAUACAUCAUUCUCGAAUUAUUAGCCGGAGGUGACCUGAAAAAUUUCCUGCGCGAAGAACGACCUCGAUCAGACCGGCCUACAUCAUUAACGAUGCUAGAUCUAAUUAUGUGCGGCUACGAUGUCGCGAACGGCUGUAAAUACAUGGAGGAAGCCCGUUUUAUACACCGAGAUAUCGCCGCUAGAAACUGCUUGUUAACUACUAAAGCACCGGGCCGUACUGUUAAGAUCGCGGAUUUCGGUAUGGCCAGGGAUAUUUAUCGAGGCGAUUAUUAUAGGAAAGAUGGCAAGGCGAUAGUGCCCAUAAAAUGGAUGCCACCCGAGAGCUUCUUGGACGGUAUAUUCACCACAAAGACCGAUGUCUGGUCGUUUGGCGUGCUCCUAUGGGAGAUUAUGUCAUUCGGAUAUAUGCCCUACACCGGGUGUGGAAAUCUCGAAGUCAUGACAAUGGUAAAGUCCGGCGGGCGCCUUGAGAAGCCUGUGGGAUGUCCAGACCCUAUAUACGGAAUCAUGAUGCGGUGUUGGCAUCCACAGCCUGACGAUAGACCAAGUUUCGCCACUAUUGUCGAGAGGAUCGGCUACUGUUUGCAGGAUCCUGAUGUGAUAAAUCUACCCCCGCCUAAUUUCAAUGUGAUGUCAAUCUACGAUCCUGAAAUGAUCAUGAGAGCAGACUCAGAAGCGGAAUGCAAUAACGUACAAUCUGAUACGGACGGCGGCUACCUGCAACCGAGAGUCAUCGAUCCACGAUCCGUUGCACGUCGCGUAGAUCAAGCUAUGGGUGGCGUCUACGAUUCCGAGAAUGAAAAAUCAAUCGAAGACUGCAAGUUGUACGGCGGGUCUUACGUGAAAUCAGCGGGAUGUCGAAAAGAUAUGUACAAUUGCAACAAGUAUGACUCUAGCACAGAUACCUUUGAGCAAACGUAUAGCAAUGAAGAGCAUGAAGAGGUGACCAAAGAGUGCAAGGAUAAAAGUAUAGCCGAUCGAUCGAAUCGACAAAAAAAUAGGACGAUACAUCGAACCAUGGACAUCGAAGACAAUGUAGACAAUGGCAACAACCGACCAGAGGAUGAAUGUCAUAUGACUGCCAACAUCGAUAGCACGAUAACGGAUCGCAAAAACGGUAAUGAAAGCACAACGACUACUGACACCAAUUCGGACUCUCUGAUAGCACAAUCCUCGGACACUCCGCCCGAUACGACGACGAAUUCGUCGCCCAACACGCGCACUUGCUCACCAAGUCACACCAUCGGCCUCAACGCCAACGUCAGUAAUGUAAACGGUAUGGUGAAGAAGAAUACACUGAAGGCAACCCUGAGCCUGGACCCAAGCGCGCUCUGCAGGGGCAUCCCUUACGAGAAGAUCACAACGCGAACGCAACACUCGAGCACGCCGGGCAGUACGGAACUAAGGAAGGUAACUUGACCUCCCCCCUACAUCCGGCGUCCUGCACAGUUUCCAUCUGUACUUGAUCGUGGUCCUUGAUCGAAGAGCUCCUUGAGUCACGAGCUGCCGAGGGAGGAAGAAUGCUCUUGCUGAGAUUUAUCCGAGGGGGGUUGACGAGGCUGCCCGGCCGCGCUUGGCUGCAAAGUCGCUCGUCGAUUGCAGCUGCAACGAUCGGCCACAACGACAGCAAUUAUGAGGGAUGCGCAGCUCGUAGAACUCUCCUCGCCUUCGUGGACACAGGAUAACGAAUACUCGCGUCGUUACUAUUCCGAGGAGACCCUUCUGUGAAUGGAAAUCGAGGAAAACCGCGAAUUCCUCUUCACGGGCGAUGCUUCAUUGCUAAAGACACACGACCAUCGCAAAUCGAAAGAAAAGAGAUUGUGUGCAAACGUAUACAAAACAAAAAAAAGGAGUAUGUACAUACGGAAGGAAAGAAAAAUACUAAAUACGUAACAUAUUAAUUCAAUACGUUAAGCGUUGCGCGUGCUACACAUUCACAUCUCUUAUCCAAAGUGAUCUCGAGUAAACUUUCUAAUUUCGCGAUAGCGAUAGGGCAGGAAUUUGUAAAAUUAUCGUAAUCACUCGUUAACGGGAAUCUUCGAGUGCGAAUCAGAAUGACAUAGCAGCUCGUGAAUUUAACGUUAAGAAUGUAAACGUGUAUUUGGAAAUUGGAAAAUGUUUUUGCAGUGUGUAUAUAUAUAUAUAUACACUGACAUUUAAAAAAAUCUAAGAAGCGCAAGUAGUCUCGUCUUCGACGUAAAGUAAACCCCUAAGUCGGAGACAAUACGGUCCUAUCUGUCUUAAGGAUCCCAACUGGAUUGAUACGGAUGUGAAGGGGAUUAAGGCUAUCGAGUAAAACGUUACUGUAAUAUCGAUGUAAAAAUCUCCGUAGGCUGAUCGUCUACCUCGUGACUCAUCUUUCAAACCAAAAAAAAAGAGGCAAUGACGUGAACUUGAACCUCAUUGGUACUACCGCACUAUCGCGCUAAUAAAGCGAUGAAAGCGAUGAAUGCUUGGAAAUGGGUAGCGGGGAGAGAAGGGAAUAAAAAGAGCACGAGCCCUUUUUUAUUUUUCUUACAACGACGACGUACUUUACGUGCGCGUAGCGUAUGAAAGUCAGCCACUAUGUAUCUGUACGUGAAACGUAAUAAAGGCGUGUGUUUAUGGAA